UGCGCAGGCGGUUUUGUAAGUCUGAUGUGAAAUCCCCGGGCUCAACCUGGGAAUUGCAUUGGAGACUGCAAGGCUAGAAUCUGGCAGAGGGGGGUAGAAUUCCACGUGUAGCAGUGAAAUGCGUAGAUAUGUGGAGGAACACCGAUGGCGAAGGCAGCCCCCUGGGUCAAGAUUGACGCUCAUGCACGAAAGCGUGGGGAGCAAACAGGAUUAGAUACCCUGGUAGUCCACGCCCUAAACGAUGUCUACUAGUUGUCGGGUCUUAAUUGACUUGGUAACGCAGCUAAACGCGUGAAGUAGACCGCCUGGGGAGUACGGUCGCAAGAUUAAA
rnacentral:rRNA from 1 species